UGAAUAAACAUCAUUGAGUGCAGCGUUGAUGUAAUUUACUUUUCUUUUGUCUAUUGUUGAAUGGACUAAAGCAAUUUACACCAGCGUUGCGCUCAAUUAUGUUUUUC
rfam:Arabis alpina cultivar Pajares chromosome 6, whole genome shotgun sequence.